GUCUACAUCCAUACCACUCUGAACAAGUCCGACCUCAUCUGAUCUCAGAAGCUAAACAGGGUCGAGCCUAGUUGGUGCUUGGAUGGGAGACCACCUAGGAAGACCAGCUGCUAUAGGCG
rnacentral:rRNA from 1 species